UAAUCUUGUAUUUAAAAUGCAACAUCAACUCCUCACUGGCAAUGAAACUCUACAACCUGUAGUGCAGAUGUGAUUCCACCACACAACAUGUGUUCACUGAAAGUGUGAUUCGUUCCAAGUACUAGUUGCAAUUGAGUUGUGAGGAUCCCCCCACAUGUUUCACGCAGAGGCCACUCCAGUGUAGUCUAGAUUUGAAGUCGGAGAAUCUGAGAGGGUGCCUGGUGAAACCGUUGUCGAACCCUGGAAACGAUUGAUCACAUGUCGACGAUGUGAAUACUUCACGGAGUGUUUAGGGUUUGAGACCCUCGGGGUGCCGAACUCACCACCGUCAAUUGUCCCGGUAGGUGUUCAUGUCAGUGUGUCUGAGUGUGUCGAUGUCAGGUAUCUCUGUCUACCUGACACACUGCACAUGAGUUUUCGUAGCGGUACACACAAGCCUCUCCAUGAUAGCAAUUAUUACAUUUUGGUUGACGCGUUCCGCAAGUCCUAGUUGACUGUUGCACUGUCAAGGACGCUGUUGCCACCACACUGAGGCUGGAACACAAUAAUUUGUGAUCUGAUCGAUUGAUCAGUAAUUUCUGCAUUCCAGGGCCUCGUGUUAUCGAAUUGGUACUCGAUUCAGCCUUCCAUAGGGGACUGCAAGAGCGAAACAGUGUAGGCGAAAAUUUCAGUACAUGUGGUUUUUACCCACAAGAACAGAUGCGUGAUGGAGGAUUAGAAUAGAUUGGAGUUCAUGUGGAUGUGCAUCAACAGGGGGCGUUUUUAAUCGUUUCCCACAUGGGUUUAGACAUUAACCGCUGCUGUGUAUAAGUUGUCAUUGCAAUCCUGCAGCUCUGGUUACCGCCUUGGACGCGCUUCAGUAGAUUGCAAGAUCAGGAUCAUGUAAUUAUCAUGUAACUUUGCAAGUCCCAAUCAAGACAUUUUAGACCUGGGACCAUUGAAAGCCAGUGGGUGGUCGUACUUUGAGCAUGAGUAAGACCAGCACAGCUUUCCGUUCCUGCACCUGUCAGCAUUCGGCGGUUUCCAUCCUUCUUUGUGCAACCCAAGGGCAAUGAUCUUUGCAUUUUUCACACUUUUCCUUGUGCGCGGAGGUUCAACAUUCAGUCAAUGAUGGUGACUGGUUUGAACUCACGCCUCCGCCUUACUUAGACGGCCUGGCAGUCCUCGACUCAAGACGCUCAAGAUGCCAUUCGCAGUGAAGCAUCAAACAAAUCCACGCAAUGGGCGGCUUCUACACAAAAGGUGGUGAUCUGAGGAGAGAGCAGGGUUUGAGAAACUAGGUGUGGAUCGCAGUUCCAAGAGAGGAUGGCGAGGCCUUCUGGCAACCAACUUUGGGUUCGGUUCGGCCUCUAUGCGGAGGCGGCGGUGGAGAGUUCGGCACCCAAAGGUUCACAAACUACCAACACAACGAAACUACUCCCGAAACACUCCGUAAGAUAUUCACAUCGUCAACAUGAACGCUCAUGGCAGUCGGACAUCCGAUCUAUCGUUUCCAGAGUUUGACAGAGGUUUUACAAGGCUCCCUCUCCGCUUCUCUGGCUUCAAUCUAGACCGCUUGUGAGGCCUCUGAGUAUAAUGGAUAGUGGUUAGAGAUCGGAGUCUAGGGGCUUCCCUCUGCUUCAGGGGUAUCGAAGAGCUAGGUUGAUGCACAUCACAGAUAUGGCCGUCAAAGCCAUGGAUCAGAUCGGCCGGCAAUGAAUCACACUUGGGGUGGACAGCCUAUUGUAAUAUAGAAUCUGUGUUGCUUGAAAAUAUGAAGAACCAGAUUAACUCCGAAAGCAUGAGUCCUACUGCAUUUACUAAUCGUGCCGCAGUGGUCGGCCGACAGUUGUAUGGAAUUCGUGUCAACAAUCACUACGCCUAGCAAUUUGCACGCGAUACUGGUCCUACCACUAAGCUGACUCAUUCCGAGAUGAAUUGCGGAUAUAUACUUAGCCUCAGAUGGUUGUCACUCGUCAGUCUACCAAUGCAGAUACGUAAAGAAUCCUAGUUUGAGAGUGGGUAUGAGUGCAGGCUUCGGCAGGCUUAUCACUGAUCUGGAACAACACAUAGAAACCUCUAAACCUCUGAUAGGUUUCAUGUUGUAGACGACACUUCAUGUAGAUCCAUUUCGAAGAGUUGCUGAACCAGAGUUUUCACAAGCCGUAUGAGGUCUUGCUUUUUCCGA